rnacentral:misc_RNA from 1 species
UUAAGUUCAGCGGGUGGUCCUACUCGAUUUGAGGUCAAGUUGUCAGUUGUUGUCCGAAGACAGUUCGAAAGCACAGAGCUCCUGAUCAGCCACCCUCUUGCGAGGCGCCGGCGAAGACACUUAUCACGCCGUACUAUGUCCAACCAAGAGUUGCACUAAUGCAUUUGAGGUGAGCUGCAGUCAAGCAGCAACACCCAAGU